AUGGGACACUGUACUGCUUCGUUCUUACUUCUUUCACUUCUAUUACUGUCAGGAACUUCAUACCUUCACACAGUCACAUUUGGUUUCUGCAAUGCUGAUCCUAACGUGGGUUGCAUGGACAUCGAGAGGAAAGCCCUUCUGAAGCUCAGAGAGGGCCUCAGUGAUCCUUCAGACCGGCUUUCAUCUUGGAGUGGAGUUGAUUGCUGCAAUUGGAGAGGUAUAGGCUGCAACAAGACAACUGGGCGCGUUGCAAGCCUUAAUCUUCGCAACCCCUAUGCAGAGGGUUUGGACAGUGAUGGUGAUGAUGGAACACUGCAUGCUUUGGGAGGUGAGAUCAGUCCCUCUUUGCUUGUUUUGAAAGAUUUGGUUUACUUGGAUUUGAGCAUGAAUAAUUUCGGGGGUCUAGAACUUCCAAGUUUCAUAGGAUCACUAGAGAAAAUGACGCACCUCAAUUUAUCUGGUGCAUCUUUUGGUGGAAUAAUUCCCGCCAAUCUUGGAAACCUUUCAAACUUGCUUCAUCUUGAUCUCAGUAAUAAUGUUAUUGAGAUCUACCUCCGGGAUAACCAGUUUUCAGGGCCAAUUCCUUCAAACAUUGGUGACGUGAUGCCCUCCUUGUCCGAUUUAGACAUCUCGAGGAAUGGUCUGACUGGAAGCAUUCCUUUGUCUUUAGGAAAUCUAAGCCUGUUGACAACCAUGGUUCUUUCUAAUAAUUACUUGACUGGUGAAAUUCCUCAUUUCUGGAAAAGUAUACCAGAGUUGUAUAUUGUAGAUAUGUCAAACAACAGCCUCUCUGGUACAAUUCCAAGAUCCAUGGAUUCUCUCGUUUUACUAAGAUACUUGAUACUCUCUAACAACAACUUGUCAGGCAAACUUCCUUCAUUGAGAAACUGCACUGGCAUGAAGAGUCUUGAUCUUGGGGAGAACAAGUUCUUUGGAAACAUUCCGGCGUGGAUAGGAGAAAGCAUGCUUUCUUUGUUGAUUUUACGUUUGAGUUCCAACUCAUUCACCGGAAGCAUUCCUUCACAGUUGUGUGGCCUUUCCAAUCUUCACAUAUUGGACCUCUCACACAAUAAGCUUUCUGGUCAUAUUCCCCAAUGUGUUGGUAAUUUGAGUGGCUUGAAAAACAUCUGAAAUCUCAGAUAAAGAUACAUCAGAUCGUUACCAGGGAAAACUGAAGGUAGUGGCAAAAGGAAGAGUGCUUGAAUAUGGCACCAUCCUUUACCUUGUUAACAGCCUAGACCUCUCAAACAAUAACUUAUCAGGAGAGAUGCCAUUAGAGCUAACAAGCCUUGUCAUGCUGGGAACCUUGAAUUUGUCCAUGAAUCAUCUCACAGGGAUAAUCCCUGAAAAGAUUGGUAACUUGAAAUCGAUAGAAACUCUUGAUCUUUCAAUGAACCAGCUUUCAGGUUCCAUACCACAGAGCAUGGUCUCUUUGACAUUCGUAACUCAUCUGAACCUGUCGCACAACAAUUUGUCCGGGAAAAAUCCCAACAAGCAACCACACAGCAAGUAGGUUUCAUUGUGGGGGUUCUGGGUGGUUUUUGGGAGUUUGGUCAUCAAAAAGACUUGGAGAUAUGCCUAUUUUCGCUUCCUAG